UACGUAGGGGGCAAGCGUUGUCCGGAUUUAUUGGGCGUAAAGAGCUCGUAGGCGGUUUGGUAAGUCAGGUGUGAAAUCUCCACGCUCAACGUGGAGGGGCCACCUGAUACUGCCAUGACUGGAGUCCGGUAGAGGAGUGUGGAAUUCCCGGUGUAGCGGUGAAAUGCGCAGAUAUCGGGAGGAACACCAGUGGCGAAGGCGAGUCUCUGGGAUGAUGCUGACGCUGAGGCGCGAAAGCCAGGGGAGCAAACGGG
rnacentral:rRNA from 1 species